rnacentral:rRNA from 1 species
CCUACGGGGGGCAGCAGUGGGGGAUAUUGCACAAUGGGGGAAACCCUGAUGCAGCGACGCCGCGUGUAGGAAGACGGUCCUCUGGAUUGUAAACUACUGUCCCCAGGGACGAAGAUGACGGGACCUGGGGAGGAAGCUCCGGCUAACUACGUGCCAGCAGCCGCGGUAAUACGUAGGGAGCGAGCGUUGUCCGGAAUUACUGGGUGAAAAGGGAGCGUGGGCGGGGAUUCAAGUUGGGUGUUAAAUCUACCGGCUCAACUGGUAGUCGCCCUCAAAACUGCAGCUCUUGAGUGAAGUAGAGGCAGGCGGAAUGCCUAGUGUAGCGGUGAAAUGCGUAGAUAGUAGGAGGAACACCAGUGGCGAAGGCGGCCUGCUGGGCUUUUACUGACGCUGAGGCUCGAAAGUGUGGGGAGCAAACAGGAUUAGAUACCCUUGUAGUC